GAACCGUACCGCAAACCGACACAGGUGGGCAGGAUGAGAAUUCUAAGGCGCUUGAGAGAACUCAGGAGAAGGAACUCGGCAAAUUGAUACCGUAACUUCGGGAGAAGGUAUGCCCUCUAAGGUUAAGGACUUGCUCCGUAAGCCCUGGAGGGUCGCAGAGAAUAGGUGGCUGCGACUGUUUAUUAAAAACACAGCACUCUGCUAACACGAAAGUGGACGUAUAGGGUGUGACGCCUGCCCGGUGCUGGAAGGUUAAUUGAAGAUGUGAGAGCAUCGGAUCGAAGCCCCAGUAAACGGCGGCCGUAACUAUAACGGUCCUAAGGUAGCGAAAUUCCUUGUCGGGUAAGUUCCGACCCGCACGAAUGGCGUAACGAUGGCCACACUGUCUCCUCCUGAGACUCAGCGAAGUUGAAGUGGUUGUGAAGAUGCAAUCUACCCGCUGCUAGACGGAAAGACCCCGUGAACCUUUACUGUAGCUUUGCAUUGGACUUUGAAGUCACUUGUGUAGGAUAGGUGGGAGGCUUUGAAGCAGAGACGCCAGUCUCUGUGGAGCCGUCCUUGAAAUACCACCCUGGUGUCUUUGAGGUUCUAACCCAGACCCGUCAUCCGGGUCGGGGACCGUGCAUGGUAGGCAGUUUGACUGGGGCGGUCUCCUCCCAAAGCGUAACGGAGGAGUUCGAAGGUUACCUAGGUCCGGUCGGAAAUCGGACUGAUAGUGCAAUGGCAAAAGGUAGCUUAACUGCGAGACCGACAAGUCGAGCAGGUGCGAAAGCAGGACAUAGUGAUCCGGUGGUUCUGUAUGGAAGGGCCAUCGCUCAACGGAUAAAAGGUACUCCGGGGAUAACAGGCUGAUUCCGCCCAAGAGUUCAUAUCGACGGCGGAGUUUGGCACCUCGAUGUCGGCUCAUCACAUCCUGGGGCUGUAGUCGGUCCCAAGGGUAUGGCUGUUCGCCAUUUAAAGUGGUACGUGAGCUGGGUUUAAAACGUCGUGAGACAGUUUGGUCCCUAUCUGCAGUGGGCGUUGGAAGUUUGACGGGGGCUGCUCCUAGUACGAGAGGACCGGAGUGGACGAACCUCUGGUGUACCGGUUGUAACGCCAGUUGCAUAGCCGGGUAGCUAAGUUCGGAAGAGAUAAGCGCUGAAAGCAUCUAAGCGCGAAACUCGCCUGAAGAUGAGACUUCCCUUGCGGUUUAACCGCACUAAAGAGUCGUUCGAGACCAGGACGUUGAUAGGUGGGGUGUGGAAGCGCGGUAACGCGUGAAGCUAACCCAUACUAAUUGCUCGUGAGGCUUGACUCU
rnacentral:rRNA from 1 species